AGUGGUAAAAAUAUAAAUAACGAUACCUGGAAUACUUCCCGAUUAAAAUGCUACAUCGGUAUUAAUCUGUGCGCUUGCAGAUCCAAUUCAUUAUUUAUUUAGAAGAGCAAUUGCAUAUUUCAAUACCGUGUCUCUUAUAUCAUGCUGGGGAGGACAACUUGGCUUAAGUGGUGUGAGGGAUAGGUUUGGCAUUUUUGGCACCGUUGCUAGAUUUAGAACUUAGUCUACUUUUAGUAAUGAUGUUAAGAAUACCCAACA
rnacentral:lncRNA from 1 species